AGAGUUUGAUCCUGGCUCAGAAUCAACGCUGGCGGCGUGCCUAACACAUGCAAGUCGCACGAGAAAGGGGCUUCGGUCCUGAGUAAAGUGGCGCACGGGUGAGUAACACGUGAAUGAUCUACCUCCGAGUGGGGAAUAACUGAGAGAAAUCUUAGCUAAUACCGCAUAACACUUACGAGUCAAAGCAGCAAUGCGCUUGGAGAGGAGUUCGCGGCCGAUUAGUUAGUUGGCGGGGUAAUGGCCCACCAAGACGAUGAUCGGUAUCCGGCCUGAGAGGGCGCACGGACACACUGGAACUGAAACACGGUCCAGACUCCUACGGGAGGCAGCAGUGGGGAAUUUUGCGCAAUGGGGGAAACCCUGACGCAGCAACGCCGCGUGGAGGAUGAAGUAUCUUGGUACGUAAACUCCUUUCGAUGGGGAAGAUAAUGACGGUACCCAUAGAAGAAGCCCCGGCUAACUUCGUGCCAGCAGCCGCGGUAGUACGAGGGGGGCAAGCGUUGUUCGGAAUUAUUGGGCGUAAAGGGUGCGUAGGCGGUUUGAUAAGUCUGAUGUGAAAUCUCUGGGCUCAACCCAGAGUCUGCAUUAGAAACUGUCGGGCUUGAGUAUGGGAGAGGUGAGUGGAAUUUCCGGUGUAGCGGUGAAAUGCGUAGAUAUCGGAAGGAACACCUGUGGCGAAAGCGGCUCACUGGACCAUAACUGACGCUGAGGCACGAAAGCUAGGGGAGCAAACAGGAUUAGAUACCCUCGUAGUCC
rnacentral:rRNA from 1 species